rnacentral:rRNA from 1 species
UGACCAGACUCCUACGGGAGGCAGCAGUGAGGAAUAUUGGUCAAUGGCCGGAAGGCUGAACCAGCCAAGCCGCGUGAAGGACGAAGGUGCCAAGCAUUGUAAACUUCUUUUGUCAAGGGACAAAAUCAGGCUCGAGAGCCUGACCGAGGGUACUUGAAGAAAAAGCAUCGGCUAACUCCGUGCCAGCAGCCGCGGUAAUACGGAGGAUGCGAGCGUUAUCCGGAUUUAUUGGGUUUAAAGGGAGCGUAGGCCGGCUUUUAAGUCAGCUGUGAAAGUCCGCGGCUCAACCGUGGAAUUGCAGUUGAAACUGGAGGCCUUGAGUGCACACAGGGAUGCCGGAAUUCAUGGUGUAGCGGUGAAAUGCUUAGAUAUCAUGAAGAACUCCGAUCGCGAAGGCAAGUGUCCGGGGUGCAACUGACGCUGAGGCUCGAAAGUGCGGGUAUCAAACAGGAUUAGAUACCCUAGUA